rnacentral:rRNA from 1 species
UCCGCUGAAAGAUGGACUCGCGUCCGAUUAGAUAGUUGGCGGGGUAACGGCCCACCAAGUCGACGAUCGGUAGCCGGACUGAGAGGUUGAUCGGCCACAUUGGGACUGAGACACGGCCCAGACUCCUACGGGAGGCAGCAGUGAGGGAUAUUGGGCAAUGGGGGAAACCCUGACCCAGCAACGCCGCGUGAGGGAUGACGGUUUUCGGAUUGUAAACCUCUGUCCUCUGUGAAGAUAGUGACGGUAGCAGAGGAGGAAGCUCCGGCUUACUACGUGCCAGCAGCCGCGGUAAUACGUAGGGAGCAAGCGUUGUCCGGAUUUACUGGGUGUAAAGGGUGCGUAGGCGGAUUGGCAAGUCAGAAGUGAAAUCCAUGGGCUUAACCCAUGAACUGCUUUUGAAACUGUUAGUCUUGAGUGAAGUAGAGGUAGGCGGAAUUCCCGGUGUAGCGGUGAAAUGCGUAGAGAUCGGGAGGAACACCAGUGGCGAAGGCGGCCUACUGGGCUUUAACUGACGCUGAGGCACGAAAGUGUGGGUAGCAAACAGGAUUAGAUACCCUGGUAGUCCACACUGUAAACGAUGAUUACUAGGUGUGGGGGGUCUAACCCCCUCCGUGCCGGAGUUAACACAAUAAGUAAUCCACCUGGGGAGUACGACCGCAAGGUUGAAACUCAAAGGAAUUGACGGGGGCCCGCACAAGCAGUGGAGUAUGUGGUUUAAUUCGACGCAACGCGAAGAACCUUACCAGGUCUUGACAUCCAACUAACGAAGCAGAGAUGCAUUAGGUGCCCUUCGGGGAAAGUUGAGACAGGUGGUGCAUGGUUGUCGUCAGCUCGUGCCGUGAGAUGUUGGGUUAAGUCCCGCAACGAGCACAACCCUUGUGAUUAGUUGCUACGCAAGAGCACUCUAAUCAGACUGCCGUUGACAAAUCGGAGGAAGGUGGGGACGACGUCAAAUCAUCAUGCCCUUUAUGACCUGGGCUACACACGUACUACAAUGGUCGUUAACAGAGGGAAGCAAUACCGCGAGGUGGAGCAAAACCCUAAAAACGGUCUCAGUUCAGAUUGUAGGCUGCAACUCGCCUACAUGAAGUUGGAAUUGCUAGUAAUCGCGGAUCAGCAUGCCGCGGUGAAUACGUUCCCGGGCCUUGUACACACCGCCCGUCACACCAUGGGAGCCGGUAAUACCCGAAGUCAGUAGUUUAACCA